GACCACAAUGAAUUUAUAUUAAGGAGGUCAAAAUACAAUUGAAAAAAUUCCAUGUACAUUAACAUCAUAAACGCAACAGUUUUCUAGGUA